GAUGGAAGAUUCCAAAGGGAUCGCAUUGAUCUGAUAAUAUAAACAAGGCUCGAUCAAAUUGGUUUUGUUUUUCUUUUUUUGAUCAUGUGAUCCCUUAGGAAUUUUCCGU
rnacentral:pre_miRNA from 1 species